CCUGUUCAUCUUCAACUCCAAUUCAUCUUCAUUAACUCAUCAUCAUCAUUUUCACCAUUUCAACUCUAGACUAGGUCAAACUUGAUGCUAAAUUCAAUGUUUGUUGUACGUCUCAUCUCCAUCUGCAUACUCCGCCAAACAAUAAUGCCAUGUCUUUCCCCCUUUUUAUUCAUCUUCUCAAGUACGAAACCAAUCCAUCCAUCCCAGCAGCUAUGUGUUGAUCAACUCCGGCGGUUGCAUCGUAUGGGGAUCCGCCACACAUGGCGGCGUACACGGCGGAGUAGAUGGUGGGUCACCGGCAACUGAGAUAGAGGUGGCAGCUACUGUAGUGGUCGCCGGCGUCGGAGAUUUUGACCGCCGGAGAAAAGGUGAAUAUUGGUAUUGGUAACUCUGGUGGUGGCUUGCAUGAUGAUGGCAUCCGAGAUUCCAUCCGUACUGCCGACUCACUCUAAAACACGAAGCUGGUACGAGGGUUUUACCCCUUCUUUCUCUCUCCCUCUCUCUACUACGAACCCUUUCAAUUUCAGCUUCCAACUUAGGAUUACAUAUUUUCAUUGAUUUCUAUUUUACAGAGACUUUUUUUUAUUCAAUUGGUCUGAACAAGAAUCUUGAUUGGGCGUAUAUGUUGAAACUUUUCCACUAAUUAUGAUGGUUUUGGAGUGUUUUGACUUGAAUGCAGAUCUGAAGUGUUGAAGUGUUUGGGGUGAGGGAUGAUGAAUGUGAAUAAGUGAAAGGAUUGGAGGUAGAUAAGGGAAAAGACAAGUGAGAGGUGUAAUGACAUUUCUAUCCUCAUGUGCACUGCACAUUAGUGUAUAUAACUUAAUUUAACUGAAAA